rnacentral:rRNA from 1 species
AUUGAACGCUGGCGGCAUGCCUUACACAUGCAAGUCGAACGGCAGCAUGGAGAGCUUGCUCUCUGAUGGCGAGUGGCGAACGGGUGAGUAAUGCAUCGGAACGUACCGUGUAAUGGGGGAUAACGUAGCGAAAGUUACGCUAAUACCGCAUACGACCUGAGGGUGAAAGCAGGGGAUCGCAAGACCUUGCGUUAUACGAGCGGCCGAUGUCAGAUUAGCUAGUUGGUGAGGUAAAGGCUCACCAAGGCGACGAUCUGUAGCGGGUCUGAGUGGAGGAACCGCACCACUGGGACGGAGAAACGGCCGAGACUCCUGAGGGAGGCAGCAGUGGGGAAGUUUGGACAAUGGAGGCAACCCUGAUCCAGCCAGGCCUCGUGAGUGAAGAAGGCCUUCGGGUUGUAAAGCUCUUUCGGCCGGGAAGAAAUCGCACAGGCUAAUACUCUGUGUGGAUGACGGUACCGGCAUAAGAAGCACCGGCUAACUACGUGCCAGCCGCCGCGGUAA